AUUGAACGCUGGCGGCAGGCCUAACACAUGCAAGUCGAGCGAGCGGCGGACGGGUGAGUAAUGUCUGGGAAACUGCCUGAUGGAGGGGGAUAACUAAUGGAAACGGUAGCUAAUACCGCAUACCAUCAGAUGUGCCCCGAUGGGAGUAGCUAGUAGGUGGGGUAAUGGCUCACAUAGGCGACGAUCCCUACGUGGUCUGAGAGGAUGACCAGCCACACUGAAACGGAUACACGGUCCAUACUCCUACGAGAGGCAGCAGUGGGGAAUAUUGCACAAUUGUCGCUAGCCUGAUGCAGCCAUGCCGCGUGUGUGAAGAAGGCUUUCGGGUUUUAACGUACUUGCAGCGGGGAGGCGUUACCCGCAGAAGAAGCACCGGCUAACGCCGUGCCAGCAGCCUCGGUAAUUC
rnacentral:rRNA from 1 species